rnacentral:rRNA from 1 species
AGAGUUUGAUCAUGGCUCAGAACGAACGCUGSCGGCAGGCCUAACACAUGCAAGUCGAGCGCUAUCUUCGGGGUGAGCGGCGGACGGGUUAGUAACGCGUGGGAAGGUACCCUUUUCUAAGGAAUAGCCUUUGGAAACGAAGAGUAAUACCGUAUACGCCCUUAGGGGGAAAGAUUUAUCGGUAAAGGAUUGGCCCGCGUUAGAUUAGAUAGUUGGUGGGGUAACGGCCUACCAAGUCUACGAUCUAUAGCUGGUUGAGAGGAUGAUC